AGGGAGGGGCCAAAACAACAUUAAUACAUAUAAUCUGAGUUUUUCACUGUUGUUUAAUUCACAUUGGACAACUAACUCUAGAUCUAGAAUCACUCUGAACUAAAUGAACACAUUUUUAAAUGUUGUUAUGACCCGGGUC